rnacentral:sRNA from 1 species
GAACAUGUCGAGAUAGAAGCCGGGUGCCCGCAGGAGAAGCAGGACGUCGGUUAUCGUGUGGAU